AACGAACGCUGGCGGCAUGCCUAACACAUGCAAGUCGAACGAGACCUUCGGGUCUAGUGGCGCACGGGUGCGUAACGCGUGGGAACCUGCCCUUAGGUUCGGAAUAACUCCCCGAAAGGGGUGCUAAUACCGGAUAAUGUCUUCGGACCAAAGAUUUAUCGCCUUUGGAUGGGCCCGCGUUGGAUUAGCUGGUUGGUAGGGUAAAAGCCUACCAAGGCGACGAUCCAUAGCUGGUCGGAGAGGAUGAUCAGCCACACUGGGACUGAGACACGGCCCAGACUCCUACGGGAGGCAGCAGUGGGGAAUAUUGGACAAUGGGCGAAAGCCUGAUCCAGCAAUGCCGCGUGAGUGAUGAAGGCCUUAGGGUUGUAAAGCUCUUUUACCCGGGCUGAUAAUGACAGUACCGGGAGAAUAAGCUCCGGCUAACUCCGUG
rnacentral:rRNA from 1 species